rnacentral:rRNA from 1 species
UACGUAGGGGGCAAGCGGUUGUCCGGAUUUAUUGGGCGUAAAGCGCGUGUAGGCGCCAGGUAGGUCCGCUGUGAAAACUCGAGGCUCAACCUCGAGACGUCGGCGGAAACCAUCUGGCUAGAGUCCGGAAGAGGAGAGUGGGAAUCCUGGUGUAGCGGUGAAAUGACGCAGAUAUCAGGAAGAAUAUCCGUGGCGAAGGCGGCUCUCUGGGACGGUACUGACGCUGAGACGCGAAGCGUGGGGAGCGAACAGG